rnacentral:lncRNA from 1 species
AACAAUAUAAUUAGUUUUUACUCUUUGUUCGAAAGAGUGAGAAAAAGUACUUGUUGCAAAGUUAUACUGUUAGGACGCAACCGAGUAGUCUAAUGUUGUUCCGGUUUUGGUUCUUGUGAACUUUGAUAUCGUUUCGUUCCACUAUUACACUCUCGGGGCAUAAUAAAACAAUAUAAUUAGGUUUUUACUCUUUGUUUGUUUGAAUGAUAAAAAGUAAUCGUCGCAAAGUAAUAUUAUUAGGGCGCAACUGAGUAGUCUAAUGUUGUUCCGGUUUUGGUUUUUGUGAACGUUGACAUCGAUUCGUUCGAAAUUUACACUCUCGGGGCAUAAUAGAACAAUAUAAUUAGUUUUUACUCUUUGUUCGAUAGAAUGAGAAAAAGAACUCGUUGCAAAUUUAUACUGUUAGGGCGCAACUGAGUAGUCUAAUGUUGUUCCGGUUUUGGUUAUUGUAAACGUUGACAACGAUUCGUUCGAAAUUUACACUCUCGGGGCAUAAUAGAACAAUAUAAUUAGAUUUUACUCUUUGUUCGAUUGAAUGAGAAAAAGUACUCGUUGCAAAGUUAUACCGUUAGGGCGCAACUGAGUUGUCUAAUGUUGUUCCGG